GCCUCUGAAAAGUAAAAGAAGAUUUGGAUACAACUGAAGAAUAUCUUGGUGUUUAACUGAUGGGCCUUGUUGACUUGAAGCUUCUACAAUGAGUUUUUGGAGAAAUAAAAUGCAUUUUGUACUAAA